AAAUAGUCUGGUCUCCCGGGGGAACCACUCACCAGGAAGGGAGUGCCCUGUUCAGAUCUGACCAGUCCUGUUCCCAGCCCUGGUAGUGGUUGGACCACUGAAAAUUAAGAAAUCUGUGUCCUAGUUAAUAGCUGUCUUCAUGCGUGUUAUUAGAAUGAAUCAAUUUUCCAGAGCCUACUGGGCAGUCUAAGAAAUAGAAUGUACCUAAAAACAUAUUGUCCAAGACCAGCCCCUUGCUCAUAACCAGCCCAGGAGGAUGUAACCCUCUAUGAGUCCUGUCUGUACUCAGGAGGGUUUCAAUGGGAUGAGUUUCCUGCCAACACUUGACAACAAUAUCCGUGCUGGGUCAUGGCAGUUUGAUUGGACAUCAGGGAGAAAAAGGCUCAAACGGGCCACCCAAGACCUCAGCAUGAGACAGUGAACAUGAUAUGCAAAGCUAGAACUCUAAAGGCAAAGGCCUUCCAGGAAGUUGCUGCCCUGUGGGACCUUAGCCUUCUUUCCAGAACCACUGAAUGAUUUCUGCCAUGUUUCUAUGAAGCUGACACACCUGUUUUGAAUAACAAUUUGCCGGUGCCUCUGGAUUUCCAGGUCUGCAAACUGAAACUGAGAAACAUGUGACGGAUGCAACUGGAAACUGGGAGCAGGAACGUGGCCUCCCCUAUUCUUCACUCAAACCAUUACCUUCAAAGACUUUAUUUUUGUCCUUUCCUUAAGCAUUCAAAAAAUAAAGAAAAAAAGAACACAACGUAUAUAUGAACAUCUUUGCUGCACUCUAAAACUGUACUAUCUAUGCAACAGCCACCAGCCACCUGUGGCUAUUUGGAUUCAAAUAAAAUACAAUUUUAAAAGUUGUUUUAAAACAUCUUUCAGUUUCUAAAUCCAGCUAGCCACAUUUCGUAUACCCAAUAGCCACAUGUGGCUAAUGGUGACUGUAUUGGCAGCACAGGAAAUGGAACGUUUCUAUCACCACUGAAGGUUCCGUUAGACGGUGCUGCUCUACCAUCAGAAAAUGAAAUUUUGUGCUUUCUAUUCUCUUAGACUGUUGUUGGGAACAUUUUUUCACAGUUACUGGUGGUCUCAAAAAUCUGUCCCUGAGAAAGUCCUGGUUUGUGUAACUGUGUCACAAUUGUAACACCAUUUUCGUGUGACACGUAUUCACAUGUGCAGUAGUUUGGCGUUUCAGGCUUUUCAUGUUCAUAUCAAUACUUUUCUCUUAUCAAAACAAACAAACACAUUUCCAUUGUGUCCAAUUUCUAAUGGGAAUUUAGGUCCUAUACUUUGUUGGAAACAUAACUUCAGGCUACUGAACGAAAAAAAUUCAUCACUUUCAUUUUUCUUUUCUGCCAAAAAAAUAAUCAAUAUAUUUAAAUAUGAGGCAUUUAAUCAGUUGUUAAUUUGAGUUUAAUGUUUGUAUCAAGGGUAAGAUCAUCAGAAACUAAAUGUUUAUGUCAACUGGUGAAAUAAAUGAUAUGAAACCAUAAGGACCAGUGAGAUCAUGUUGUCCUUAAUAUUGUAUAUUGUAUGUAUCAGAGAUCACUGGAUGGGUUUUAUAUUGACCCUUCUAGGUACACAAGUGGUUAAAAGUAUUUGUGCUUCUGGAACUACUUAUUUGUGCUUCUAGAACUGCCUGGUUGUUGCAAAGAUUUACUCCAUCUGACAACCUGAAAUGUGUUUGAUCUGUCAAGUUUUAGAAGAGAAAAUAAUUCCCUUGUGCUAUGAUCUACUAGAGUAAAAGUCUUUGUAAGGUAAGGAAAAUUAAAACAGUG
rnacentral:lncRNA from 10 species